rnacentral:lncRNA from 10 species
CAGGACUUCUCAUGGAUAUCAAAAUUCACAGAUGUUCAAGUCCAUGAUACAAAAUAGUGAAGUACUUGCAUAUAACCUAUGCACAUCCUCCUUAUACCUCAAAUCAUCUCUGGCUUACUUAUAGUACCUGAUACAAUGUAAAUGCUAUAUAAAUAGUUAUUACACUGUAUUGUUUAGGAAAUAGUGGGGAAAAUGUCUGUACACGUUCAGUACAAAUGCAUUUUUCCCAAUAUUUUUGAUCCAUGAAAUUGCGACAAGAUGAAAUUUUCUGUCUUAAUUAUACUAUAGUCUGGGAAUGUGAUUACCUUUUAAGAAGAUCCAGUCCUUAAAAAAAUGUUGGGACCAAUUUCAUGGACCAUUGAUGAUCAUUUUUUAAAAUGACCCAGGUGUACUUAAGAAGAAUGCUUUAUAUCAAAAUUUUAAAUAAUAGUGCUCAAAUCUUGUGUGUCUUUAUUUUCAGUCCAAGGACUUAAUCUGCCAUGUCCCUAAAAAAGAAAGUUGAUUCACUGAGUUUUGAACUGAGUCUCUGCUGUGUUGCAUUUUUGCUCUCUGUAGUGUACUCCAGAGCACAGUUAUUUUUUGCUAAAAGAUGUUGUGGACUUUGUCUUAUUCUUUCAGACCUGAGAUUCUCAAUGAAGAGAGCCAAUCACACAGAGUUAAGAGAGUUUGUUUUCCAAGGUUUCUCCAAUUUUCCAGAACAUCAGCUCACAUUUUUUGUGGUCUUUCUCGCCCUCUACAUUCCUAACUCUGGCUGGCAAUUUCAUCAUUCUGGCCAUAAUCUAUGUUGACCAUCACCUCCAUACUCCUAUGUACUUCUUUUUAAGUGUGCUAUCCACUUCAGAGACUUUCUAUUCCCUGGUCAUUAUCCCACGCAUGCUUUCCAGCCUUGUAGGCCUGAGCCAAUCCAUUUCCCUGGAGGGCUGUGGGACUCAGAUCUUUUUUUUUCUUGGCUUUGCCAUCACCAACUGCCUCCUGCACUGGUUCAGACUGUGGCCAUUUUCAGGUUGCUCUUUUGCACCCCACUGAUUGAGCAUUUCUUCUGUGAUGUUCAGCCUGUGUUGGACCUGGAGUAAUCUAAACCUUUUCAUGUAAACUCAAGCAAUUAAUGAUUAAUAAGUCAUGUUAUGAGUAAAAACAAUAACAUUAAAAGUUCUGCUUCUCCCCUUUCUUCCACUUCCCCAUUAUCCUUGGGGUGAAUCAAGUUCAGGUCAAGAUUUCCAGCUUUCUGGAAGAAGAAGAACUUUAUCCAGGUUCAUUUCUACCUCCUCAGAUUGGAUUCUCUGGAGAUACAUGAGCCCCAAUGGCUCAUGUAUCUGUUGCCAUUAAUUGAGAUGAGUCCAGUCUUGCCAUGGUCCUUAUCAAUAUAGUCCCUGCACUUCAUAUCUUCCUUAUGACCAUUUUGAGGCUACUCUAGGUUCUUUGUACUUCUCUCUGCCACUUCUUGAGGGCACCUGGACAUUUAACUGCACCCUUGACCCUGUAGAGGAGUGGAUGAAACUCAGUGAGGUAUCAUUGAGCCAUCACCUGCUGCCUUACUCACCCAUUUCUACUCCAUCAGUAUUCAAGCCUUUUCUAAGAGGCUUCUCUGAAAAGUGAGGGGCAUACCUUCUCUGCUUCAAUCAGAUUCUUUCCUUCCUUCCUUACAUCAGGGUUUAUUUGGGGUAGGACCAAGAGUGGGCUUUCCACAAUAUAUAACUCUGGUGCCAUCUUC